rnacentral:rRNA from 1 species
UGAGUUUGAUCCUGGCUCAGAGCUAAUGCUAGCAGCAGGCCUAACACAUGCAAGUUGAGCGGGCUCAGUCUAAACAUGGUGAGCCUAGCGGCAUACGGGUGAGUAAUAUGUAAGCACCUGCCUUGUUCAAUGGGAUAGGCCGUGCUAAGCGUGCUAAUACCACAUGAUUCCUGUAUCAGGUAAAGAGCUAUUGGAACAAGAUGGGCUUAUGUUAGAUUAGCUAGUUGGCACGGCUAAUAACCUGCCAAGGCAAUGAUCUAUAGCUGGUCUGGGAGGACGAACAGCCACAUUGGGACUGAGACAUGGCCCAGACUCCUAUCGGGGGAGGCAGCAGUGAGGAAUAUUGGACAAUGGGCGCAAGCCUGAUCCAGCUAUGUUGCGUGAGUGAUGAAGGUCAUAGCGAUUGUAAAGCCCUUUUAUUGGCCAAUCAUAGUGAUAUAGCCGAUGAAUAAGCUCCGGCCAACUCCGUGCCAGCAGCCGCGGUAAUACGGGGGGAGCAAGUGUUGUUCAGUUUAACUGGGCGUAAAGUGCGCGUAGGUGGCCUAGCAAGUUGCUGCUAAACCUUGAGGCCCAACCUCAUUACAACUGCAAUACUGCUAGGCUAAGGGCAUGGCGAUGAGUGAACGGAAUUCCAAGUGUAGAGGUUAAAUUCGUUGAUAUUUGGAGGACCACCGGAAGCAAAAGCGGUUCACUGUGCCAUGGCCGACGCUGAUUGUGCGAAAGCGUGGGUAGCAAACAGGAUUAGAUACCCUGGUAGUCCACGCUGUAAACGAUGAGUGCUAAUAGCAGGGCUCCAUUGCUUUCAUUGCUUUGUGUCCUAUUAUACAGCUAACGCGUUAAGCACUCCGCCAGGGUACUACGGUCGCAAGGCUGAAACCCAAAGGAAUUGACGGAGACCUGAACAAGCGGUGGAGCAUGUGGUUUAAUUCGAAACUACACGAAGAACCUUACCAGCCCUUGACAUUUUAAGCUAAGUAUUACUGGCAGUUAUGUGCUCAGUAUAUGCUUUUAACAGGUGCUGCAUGGCUGUCGUCAGCUCGUGUCGUGAGAUGUACGGUUAAGUCCUGUAACGAGCGCAACCCUUGCCCCUAGUUGCUUAAUAUAUAGCUCUCUAGGGGGAAGAAGCAUCUAAUUGUAACUUAGAGGACGGAGGAUAACGUCAAGUCAUCAUGGCCCUUAUGGGCUGGGCCACACACAUGCUACAAUGGUGGGCACAGAGGGCCGCAAUGCCGCGAGGCUGAGCAAAACCUUAAAACCCAUCUCAGUUCAGAUUGCACCUCUGUAAUUCGAGUGCAUGAAGCUGGAAUCGCUAGUAAUCGCAGAUCAGCAUGCUGCGGUGAAUACGUUCCCAGGUCUAGUACAUACUGCCCGUCACGCCCCGGGAGCUGACCAGCUUUAAGCUGUGUAUUAAUGCCAAGAUGAGUACUGGCCAGUGACUGGGGCGAAGUCGUAACAAGGUAGCCGUAGGUGAACCUGUGGCUG